rnacentral:lncRNA from 1 species
GAUAUAUAUAUAUAAAGGGGAAAGGAAUUAUUCAGACGCAACUUCUCAAUAGUAUAGUAUGGGAGUAGAGUAUAAUAUUGGACCACUAUGGAGUUGCUUGGAAGUGCAGAAUCAAUCACGUUUUACUCAAUGUUUCUUCUCUCUAUUUUAUUAGUAUUAUAAAAAAAGAGAACAGACAAAGGAAUCUUGAACCAAUCUAGUUUUCGUGCUUACUCGUUUUGGU